CACAUGAAGGCAAAUGAUGCCAUUUUCAUUUGUUAAAUCAUUUCAUUUGUCUUUUUGCCAGGACCUACUUGGGAAUCCUUUUUCCAGCAAUUUCAGGUUCUGAGUUUAUGUCAGAAGUAUAGCUGGCCUUCUUCCAAUUGUUGGCUACAUUCUGAAAAGAUGCUGAAAACAAGAAAUGCAGGAUUUACACAAGCUCCAGUCUGGAUCCAGAACACCUGAGAAGAGAUGAUGCUGACCCUCAGAGGACCCCAGAUGAUGCUAACCCAGAGACAACAUACAGAAGUACCACAUUUUGCUAUAAGUUUGAUUGCAUAAUUGCUGUUAAUAGUGUUAAUCGUCUGUUUAUGUCUUCUAUUGAUUUUUCCGAUUUUUCUACCAUAUGCACAUAAACUGACAGUCAUCACUGAAAAGCUACUACUAAAUAUUUUAGAAACUUAAUUUUCUGUAAAGUUGCUUUGCAAUGAUUUGAAUCGUAAAAAGCGCUAUACAAAUAAACUUGAAUUGGAUUGUG